rnacentral:rRNA from 1 species
AUUGAACGCUGGCGGCAGGCCUAACACAUGCAAGUCGAGCGGAUGAGAGGAGCUUGCUCCUUGAUUUAGCGGCGGACGGGUGAGUAAUGCCUAGGAAUCUGCCUGGUAGUGGGGGAUAACGUUCCGAAAGGAACGCUAAUACCGCAUACGUCCUACGGGAGAAAGCAGGGGACCUUCGGGCCUUGCGCUAUCAGAUGAGCCUAGGUCGGAUUAGCUAGUUGGUGAGGUAAUGGCUCACCAAGGCGACGAUCCGUAACUGGUCUGAGAGGAUGAUCAGUCACACUGGAACUGAGACACGGUCCAGACUCCUACGGGAGGCAGCAGUGGGGAAUAUUGGACAAUGGGCGAAAGCCUGAUCCAGGGAUGCCGCGUGUGUGAAGAAGGUCUUCGGAUUGUAAAGCACUUUAAGUUGGGAGGAAGGGCAUUAACCUAAUACGUUAGUGUUUUGACGUUACCGACAGAAUAAGCACCGGCUAACUUCGUGCCAGCAGCCGCGGUAAUACGAAGGGUGCAAGCGUUAAUCGGAAUUACUGGGCGUAAAGCGCGCGUAGGUGGUUCGUUAAGUUGGAUGUGAAAGCCCCGGGCUCAACCUGGGAACUGCAUCCAAAACUGGCGAGCUAGAGUACGGUAGAGGGUGGUGGAAUUUCCUGUGUAGCGGUGAAAUGCGUAGAUAUAGGAAGGAACACCAGUGGCGA